UUACGUCCAUAUCACGUUGAAACACAGGUUUUUGUACGAUCGCCGAAGUUAAGCAACAUCGAACCUGGUCAGCAGCUAGAUGCGGGAGCACUUGGGAAUACCAGGUGCUGUAAU